UACAGAGGGUGCAAGCGUUAAUCGGAAUUACUGGGCGUAAAGCGUGCGUAGACGGUUAUUUAAGUCAGGUGUGAAAGCCCCGGGCUCAACCUGGGAACUGCAUUUGUGACUGCAUCGCUGGAGUACGGCAGAGGGGGAUGGAAUUCCGCGUGUAGCAGUGAAAUGCGUAGAUAUGCGGAGGAACACCGGUGGCGAAGGCGGAUCUCUGGGCCAUUACUGACGCUGAGGAGCGAAAGCGUGGGGAGCGAACAGG
rnacentral:rRNA from 1 species